GAUUGAGGCUAUUGUAUGUCAGAACACAUAUUAGUUUAUUUAUUUCAUCUACACUAUUAAAAUACAAAAACGUCAGGUGGACCAAAAUUUACAAGAAACUGAACUUUUUAAUUAUAAUAAAAUUAAAGAAACCUUUGACAAAAUCCUUGAUGAAGUUAAGUAUAAAGAAGCCAAAAAUAGCGGACGUCUUUCUCUCUCUCAUAAAGCUUUUCAAGGAAUUUAAAUAUUUAACUUAUAAUUCUUUACACAAAAAUACCUUCUACAGGUGCGCUUAUGAUUUGCUUGUAUCGGGAGGUGCCGGGAUUCCACACAGCCUUUAUGUUUCUCCAACUAUUAAUUGACAUAGACGAGAAAUUUUCCACUUGGCGCUACCAUCAUGUUUUGUUGGUCCGCAGAAUGAUUGGAACGAGGAUAGGAACAGGCGGUAGCAGCGGUUAUUACUACCUCAAAGCUACCACAGCCGACAGAUAUAGAAUAUUUCUAGAUUUCGCCAGUUUAUCGAACUACAUACUUCCAAAAUCUUGUCUUCCCAAGUUACCAGAGGGGGUCUUUCUGUCGGAGCAGCAGUGAAAACUAGAUUAUUAAUAAAAACUUUUUCGCAU